CUCAAAAAAAAAAAAAAAAAAGACCAUGCAUAUAUCCCCAGAACUAGUUCUUUCCCUAGGUCUAGUUUUAUAAAUGCUGCUGAUAAAC